AGAGUUUGAUCCUGGCUCAGGAUGAACGCUAGCUGAGUGCCUAACACAUGCAAGUCGAACGGACCCUUGGGCUUGCCCAAGACAAGUCAGUGGCAAACGGGUGAGUAAUGCAUAAGUAACCUGCCCCUAAGACUGGGAUAACGAUUCGAAAGGAUUGCUAAUACCGGAUACACUCCCUAAAUCAUAGGAUUCUGGGAGGAAAGUUUUUUCGCUUAGGGAUGGGCUUCUGUCUGAUUAGCUUGUUGGUGGGGUAAUGGCCUACCAAGGCGACGAUCAGUAGCUGGUCUGAGAGGAUGACCAGCCACACUGGGACUGAGAUACGGCCCAGACUCCUACGGGAGGCAGCAGUGGGGAAUAUUGCGCAAUGGACGAAAGUCUGACGCAGCGACUCAGCGUGAGCGAUGAAGCCUUUCGGGGUGUAAAGCUCUGUCAAUAGGAAUAAUAAUGAUAGUACCUAUAAAGGAAGUCACGGCUAAUUACGUGCCAGCAGCCGCGGUAAUACGUAAGUGGCAAGCGUUAUCCGAAUUUACUGGGCAUAAAGAGAGCGUAGGUGGUUGCCUAAGUUAGGUGUUAAACCCCAUAGCUCAACUAUGGUUCGCAUUUAAUACUGGGCGACUAGAGAUAAGGAGAGGGAAGUGGAACUCACAGUGUAGCGGUAAAAUGCGUAGAUAUUGUGAGGAACACCAGUGGCGAAGGCGA
rnacentral:rRNA from 1 species